rnacentral:tRNA from 1 species
GAGUUGAUGCCUGAGCGGUCAAAAGGAGUGGACUGUAAAUCCAUCAUAACAUUUUAUACAUCGGUUCAAAUCCGAUUCAACUCA